rnacentral:tRNA from 1 species
GCCAUCUUAGCUCAGUUGGUAGAGCGCCUGACUUGUAAUCACGAGGUCCCCGGUUCGAUUCCGGGAGAUGGCU